rnacentral:lncRNA from 1 species
CCUGCACCGGCCCAGGGAGCUUCUCUCCUGAGCUUUCUGCAAUCUCCCAUCUCCAGCCUCAGACUUGAGACAGGGCUGGACAAGGAAGCAGAUAGGGAAAGAAAGCAGAAGUGGGGCUCAGACCCUGGGAGAGGGGACUCCACCUUGUCCUACCAGAGCCUGAUGCAGUGACAAGUGACAUCUGAGAAGAGGCCACCAGGGAUCGGGCUGCUCGGCUACUGGCAGCUCUGUUCCUCCUGAAUGUCUCAGGCUGUUUUGCUGUGGGCGGCCCCAGCACCAUGACAGACACCGCAGUGGGGAUCCCUGAAUGUGCAGUGUCAGUAUGAGGAGGAAUACAGGACUUUCAACAAAUACUGGUGCAGACAACCACUUUUUCUACUAUGUGACAAGACUGUAAAGGCUGGAGAGUCAGCAGGAGUGAGUAAUGGCUGAGUGUCCAUCAGGGACCAUCCUGCAAACCUCAGCUUCACAGUGACCCUGGAGAGCCUCACAGAGGAGGAUGCAGGUGGAUAUUUGUGUGGGGUCAAUAGACUAUUGCUCCAAGAAUUUCAAGAUCUUGUCGCCGAGACUGACCUGUGAUGCCCCUGCAGCCCUGACAGCGGCCUCCAGUCUCAGAGCUCCACGGGCACCUCGGGUCCUCCCGUUACGUCCCAGCGUGCACCUGGCCCAGCUCUACCAGACAGGACAGCCCUGAUCCCAGCCCACACCCAGGCUCCCUGUUCAGCAGCCCCUACGUCCUGCUCCUGGUCCUGGAGCUGCCCCUGCUCCUGAGCAUGCUGGGUGCCGUCGUCUGGGUGAACGGACCUCAGAGAAGCUCUGGAAGCAGGCAGAGUUGGCCAGAGGGUGAGAACCAGUAG